CCUACGGGAGGCAGCAGUGAGGAAUAUUGGUCAAUGGGCUUACGCCUGAACCAGCCAAGUCGCGUGAGGGAAGACUGCCCUAUGGGUUGUAAACCUCUUUUGUCAGGGAGCAACGCCGGCUACGUGUAGCCGGACUGAGAGUACCUGAAGAAAAAGCAUCGGCUAACUCCGUGCCAGCAGCCGCGGUAAUACGGAGGAUGCGAGCGUUAUCCGGAUUUAUUGGGUUUAAAGGGUGCGCAGGCGGAUUUUUAAGUCAGCGGUCAAAUCGUGGGGCUCAACCCCAUCCAGCCGUUGAAACUGGGGAU
rnacentral:rRNA from 1 species